rnacentral:piRNA from 1 species
UGCUCACUAUUAAACACUGAGUACAAGA